rnacentral:rRNA from 1 species
GUAGCAUAAUCAUUUGUCUUUUAAUUAAAGACUUGAAUGAACGGUAGAACGAGAAAUAAGCUGUCUCUUUAAAAAAAAAUAAAAUUUUACUUUUAAGUGAAAAGGCUUAAAUAAAUUAAAAAGACGAUAAGACCCUAUAAAUCUUUAUAUUAAUAAUUUUUAUUUUUAAAUUAUAAAUAAAAAUAAAAUAAAAAUUAUAAUAUUUUAUUGGGGAGAUAUAAAUAUAAUUUUUAACUAUUUUAAUAUUAUAACAAUAAUAUUUGAUUUACUAUUAUGAUCCUUCUUAAAGAAUAAAAAAUCAAGUUACUUUAGGGAUAACAGCGUUAUCUUUUUUAAGAGUUCUUAUCGAAAAAAAAGUUUACGACCUCGAUGUUGAAUUAAAAAAUCCAUAUA